AUUGAACGCUGGCGGCAGGCCUAACACAUGCAAGUCGAGCGGAUGAAGGGAGCUUGCUCCUGGAUUCAGCGGCGGACGGGUGAGUAAUGCCUAGGAAUCUGCCUGGUAGUGGGGGAUAACGCCCGGAAACGGGCGCUAAUACCGCAUACGUCCUGAGGGAGAAAGUGGGGGGUCUUCGGACCUCACGCGAGCAGAUGAGCCUAGGUCGGAUUAGCUAGUUGGUGGGGUAAGGGCCUACCAAGGCGACGAUCCGUAACUGGUCUGUGAGGAUGAUCAGUCACCUUGGAACUGGGACGGGGUCAAGACUACUGAGGGACGCCGCAGUGGGGAAUAUUGGACAACGGUCGGAAGCCUUAUACAGCCAUGCCGCGUGUGUGAAGGAGGUCUUCGGAUUGUGAAGCACUUUAAGUGGGGAGGAAGGGCAGUCAGUUAAUACCUUGCUGUUUUGACGUUACCAACAGAAUAAGCACCGGCUAACUACGUG
rnacentral:rRNA from 1 species